rnacentral:tRNA from 1 species
GGAGGGUAUAGCUCAGUGGUAGAGUGUGUGCUUAGCAUGCACAAGGUCCUGGGUUCAAUCCUCAGUACCUCCG